GAAGGGGGUCAGUAACACAAAGAACUGCUAAUUC
rnacentral:tRNA from 3 species